AGCAUUUGCUAUGCUCUAGUGCUGUACAGAAGUGGAGGGAGGAAGCAGGCCCUGUCCUUAGUGAUCUCGUUUCAUACGUGGUGUGAGUUCCAGAGCCUUUUAAGGCUGUGGCUCAAGGUGCUGGGUUAUAUAAGGGCUUUUAGGAAUGAGAGGAUCCUUUCUUGUUUCUUUUAUACUAGGAUUUAAUAGAAGAAAAAGACAUCAGCCUGCUAUGGAUGGGGCGUUGCCUGAGGGAAGACAUGGAGGUUCAUCUGAGGUGCUGGACCAUGGACGGUAAUGAAUGUUUUCACACUUGUCCUUGCUAGGACCCAGCCCUCCGGAGGCAGUAGCAGGCAGUAGUCAUGGAGUACAUUCUAGAACAUUCAGUUUCCAGACUGUGCCCUUCCUGGCUUCUUACCUUGGUCACACUACCAGUCCUGAGUCUCCAUUUCCUCAAAUGUGAAAUGUUCCGGCACCCAGGGGCUUUACGAGGGUUAGAGGAGAAAACUCAUUUGCGGCCUGGUGAGAUUGUGAGAAACGCUAGCUAUUAAUUAAUAUCACUGGCUGCCAGAGAGUACGGGCCGAGUCUGCACACUGGGCAGAAAGACCUGACCAUUAGAUGCUUGACAUCGAGAACUCAUUCAUUCUGUCAAGGGCAGACUUGAGUAAGGCAAGAACACUGAAGCAAGUAUGGUAUUUUUUUUUAAAUGUUUGCAGUGCUGGGGAUUGAACUCAGGGCUUUGUGUAUGCCAGGCAAGCCACUCCACCACUGGGCCACCCUUCCAGUGCUUCAAGUAUAGUAACCUCUGGCCUACAUCAGCUCAGUGUGCCCUGUGGAUCAGUUUCCUUGCUGAUACUCUACUCAUAAAAUGUCACUUAAUUUUCUCAAGUCAACAGUAGGGUUGGCUCCCCUCUUCCCAAGUUACAAAAGAAAACCUGGAGGCUGUCAUAAUCCAUUUUUCGUUGUUGUUGUUGUUGUUGUUGUUGCUGCUGUUGUUGCUAUAAGAAAGCAUCUGAAACUGAGUAGCUUAUAAACAACAGAGGGUUUGGAGUUCAUAGUCCAGGAGGCUGGAUGUCCAAAGGCAUGGACACAGCAUCUGUUGAAAGCCUUAUGUUAUGUCAUAAUAUGGCAUGGAAUGUCCCAUGGAAACAGAACGUCCCUGCCAGCUCAGACUCCUGGAUCUCUUCUUAGAGAGCCAUUAAUAUCAAAAUAGGGGGUCCUACCCUGAUGACCUCCUCUGAUCUUAGUGGCCUCCCCAAAAGCCCCACCUCCAAACACCAUGAAUAUGUGUGGGUAUUAAGCUUACAAUGCGUGAGCCAUGACAGAAGCUGUAGAGGGAUGGCAGAUGGGCUGGAAGAGGAACAGCCAUGAUGGGCUGGCCCCUCCCGCUCUUUCCUUUCCAGGCCAGGUUACGGGAGCCGUGAGCAUGGGAGAGAUCUGGUUUGGCGGGAGUGUAAACCCUGACCAACGCGCUCCAGCUUUGGAGGGCCGGUUAUCGGUGGCUCAUUCCCAACUCCAGGAAGGCAGUUUUUGGAUACUGCAGGGGUGUAGACUAGGAUAUCUCAGACUUAGAAGAGCUGAAGAGCCUAGGAGCGCCCUUCGUACCCCCAGCCCCCGAGGCCAUUUUGCCUUUGUUCUCACUCAGGCUUCUGGACCUUGUGGCAUCGCUCACAUUAAAGGCAACAUGAGAUCACAGGGGCUCCGUGGACACAGCCUUCAGGGCCAGCGGAAGCUCCUCUUUAGAGGCCGUCCAUCAGUGCACACCUUCCCCCCAGGAGCCCAUCAACUUGAACAGCCACAGUCAGGGGCACAGAGCCCAUGAUACUCACCAACCUUUGCCUGGCCACUUAGCCUUUUUACAACUCCAUGUCCCUUCCAAUAAAACAGAACAUUCUAGAUGUGAA